rnacentral:rRNA from 1 species
GACGAACGCUGGCGGCGUGCUUAACACAUGCAAGUCGAACGGGAUUUAGUACACAGAAACCUCGGUGGAAGAUUACUAAUGAGAGUGGCGAACGGGUGAGUAACGCGUGAGCAACCUGCCUAUGACAGUGGGAUAGCCUCGGGAAACCGGGAUUAAUACCGCAUAAAAUCGUAGAAACACAUGUUCUAACGGUCAAAGAUUUAUCGGUCAUAGAUGGGCUCGCGUCUGAUUAGCUAGUUGGUGAGAUAACAGCCCACCAAGGCGACGAUCAGUAGCCGGUCUGAGAGGAUGAACGGCCACAUUGGAACUGAGACACGGUCCAAACUCCUACGGGAGGCAGCAGUGGGGAAUAUUGCACAAUGGGGGAAACCCUGAUGCAGCGACGCCGCGUGAACGAAGAAGGUAUUCGUAUCGUAAAGUUCUGUCCUAUGGGAAGAUAAUGACAGUACCAUAGAAGAAAGCUCCGGCUAAAUACGUG